rnacentral:tRNA from 1 species
GGUGGCUCAGUGGUUAAACGCUCGGCUGCUAACCAAAAGAUCGGUGGUUCAAAUCCACCAGCUGCUG